GUGGGGAAUAUUGGACAAUGGGGGGAACCCUGAUCCAGCCAUGCCGCGUGUGUGAAGAAGGCCUUUUGGUUGUAAAGCACUUUAAGCGAGGAGGAGGCUACCGAGAUUAAUACUCUUGGAUAGUGGACGUUACUCGCAGAAUAAGCACCGGCUAACUCUGUGCCAGCAGCCGCGGUAAUACAGAGGGUGCAAGCGUUAAUCGGAUUUACUGGGCGUAAAGCGCGCGUAGGUGGCCAAUUAAGUCAAAUGUGAAAUCCCCGAGCUUAACUUGGGAAUUGCAUUCGAUACUGGUUGGCUAGAGUAUGGGAGAGGAUGGUAAAAUUCCAGGUGUAGCGGUGAAAUGCGUAGAGAUCUGGAGGAAUACCGAUGGCGAAGGCAGCCAUCUGGCCUAAUACUGACACUGAGGUGCGAAAGCAUGGGGAGCAAACAGGAUUAGAAACCCUGGUAGUCC
rnacentral:rRNA from 1 species